UUGGAGGGCAAGUCUGGUGCCAGCAGCCGUGGUAAUUCCAGCUCCAAUAGCGUAUAUUAAAGUUGUUGCAGUUAAAAAGCUCGUAGUUGAAUUUCGGGGUUCUACCGUUGGUCGGGCUUUGUCUGUACUGGUGUGUAGAAUUUCUACCUUCUGGGGAACCAUCAUGCUAUUAAUUUAGCGUGGUGGGAAACCAGGACCUUUACCUUGAAAAAAUUAGUGUGUUCAAAGCAGGCUUAUGUCUGAAUACAUUAGCGUGGAAUAAUAGAAUAGGACGGUGGUCCUGUUUUGUUGGUUUCUGAAUCACCGUAAUGAUUAAUAGGGAUAGUUGGGGGCAUUAGUAUUCAAUUGUCAGAGGUGAAAUUCUUGGAUUUAUUGAAGACUAACUUCUGCGAAAGCAUUUGCCAAGGAUGUUUUCAUUAAUCAAGAACGAAAGUUAGGGGAUCGAAGACGAUCAGAUACCGUCGUAGCCUUAACCAUAAACUAUGCCGACUAGGGAUCGGACGAUGUUAAUUUUUCUUGACUCGUUCGGCGCCUUACGGGAAAC
rnacentral:rRNA from 1 species